rnacentral:rRNA from 1 species
CCUGGUUGAUCCUGCCAGUAGUCAUAUGCUUGUCUCAAAGAUUAAGCCAUGCAUGUGUAAGCACACACUGUUUUAAAAGUGAAGCCGCGAAUGGCUCAUUACAACAGCCACAGUUUAUUAGAACUUACAAUCAUGGAUAACUGUGGUAAUUCUAGAGCUAAUACACGCACAAAAACUUCAACUGAAUUGGUUGAAGUGCUUUUAUCAGAACAAAAACCGAACGGCGUUUGACGAAUGUUGAACGUCGAAACUGUUUGGUGAAUCUGAAUAACUAUUUCUGAUCGCAUGGUCUAGCACCGGCGACAUCACUUUCAAGUGUCUGCCUUAUCAACCUUCGAUGGUAGUCUAUGCGACUACCAUGGUGAUAACGGGUAACGGAGAAUCAGGGUUCGACUCCGGAGAGGGAGCCUGAGAAACGGCUACCACAUCCAAGGAAGGCAGCAGGCGCGCAAAUUACCCACUCCCAGCUUGGGGAGGUAGUGACGAAAAAUAACGAGACGAUUCUCGUUUGAGAAACGUUAUCGAAAUGAGUACGCUUUACACACGCUAACGAGUAGCAAUUGGAGGGCAAGUCUGGUGCCAGCAGCCGCGGUAAUUCCAGCUCCAAUAGCGUAUAUUAAAGUUGCUGCGGUUAAAACGCUCGUAGUUGAAUUGUGGUCUUAGACAACAGUCCCCCUACAAAGGUGUGGCACGGUUGCUCGAGAUCUUCAUUCGUGGUUGCUGUUGUUGCUCUUCAUUGAGUGUCAAUGGUGCCUCGAGAUUUUACUUUGAAAAAAUUAGAGUGCUCAAAGCAGGUUGUGAUGCCUGAAUAAUGGUGCAUGGAAUAAUAGAAUACGAUCCUCGGUUCUAUUUUGUUGGUUUUCGAACCGGAGAUAAUGAUUGAAAGGAACAGACGGGGGCAUUCGUAUUGCUGCGUUAGAGGUGAAAUUCUUGGAUCGCAGCAAGAUGAACAAUUGCGAAAGCAUUUGCCAAGAAUGUUUUCAUUAAUCAAGAACGAAGGUUAGGGGAUCGAAAACGAUCAGAUACCGUUGUAGUCUUAACAGUAAACUAUGCCGACUAGGGAUCGGGCGACCUCAAAUUUGAUGCGUCGCUCGGCACCUUACGAGAAAUCAAAGUCUUUGGGUUCCGGGGGGAGUAUGGUCGCAAGGCUGAAACUUAAAGGAAUUGACGGAAGGGCACCACCAGGAGUGGAGCCUGCGGCUUAAUUUGACUCAACACGGGAAAACUCACCCGGCCCGGACACUGGAAGGAUUGACAGAUUGACAGCUCUUUCUUGAUUCAGUGGGUAGUGGUGCAUGGCCGUUCUUAGUUGGUGGAGCGAUUUGUCUGGUUAAUUCCGAUAACGAACGAGACUCUACCCUAUUAAAUAGUGACAGUAUUGUAUUUUUUGUGCUGAUCACUUCUUAGAGGGACUGGCAAAUUGAAAGCUGCACGAAAAAGAGCAAUAACAGGUCUGUGAUGCCCUUCGAUGUCCGGGGCUGCACGCGCGCUACAAUGAAAGCGUCAACGUGAGUUACGUCCUUACCUGAAAAGGUUUGGCAAUCGAAUGAAACGUUUUCUUGAAUGGAAUAGGGAAUUGCAAUUGUUUCCCUUGAACGAGGAAUUCCCAGUAAGCGUGAGUCAUUAGCUCGCGUUGAUUACGUCCCUGCCCUUUGUACACACCGCCCGUCGCUACUACCGAUUGGAUGAUUUAGUGAGGUGUUUUGACUGGCGCCAGUAGUCGGAUAUGUAUUCGGCUUCGCGCCGGGAAAUUUCCCAAACCAAAUCAUCUAGAGGAAGUAAAAGUCGUAACAAGGUUUCCGUAGGUGAACCUGCGGAAG